rnacentral:rRNA from 1 species
AUUGAACGCUGGCGGCAUGCUUCACACAUGCAAGUCGAACGGUAACAGGCCGCAAGGUGCUGACGAGUGGCGAACGGGUGAGUAAUGCAUCGGAACGUGCCCAGUCGUGGGGGAUAACUACUCGAAAGAGUAGCUAAUACCGCAUACGAUCUAUGGAUGAAAGCGGGGGACCGUAAGGCCUCGCGCGAUUGGAGCGGCCGAUGUCAGAUUAGGUAGUUGGUGGGGUAAAGGCUCACCAAGCCAACGAUCUGUAGCUGGUCUGAGAGGACGACCAGCCACACUGGGACUGAGACACGGCCCAGACUCCUACGGGAGGCAGCAGUGGGGAAUUUUGGACAAUGGGCGCAAGCCUGAUCCAGCAAUGCCGCGUGCAGGAAGAAGGCCUUCGGGUUGUAAACUGCUUUUGUACGGAACGAAACGGCUCUGGUUAAUACCCGGGGCUAAUGACGGUACCGUAAGAAUAAGCACCGGCUAACUACGUG